UUAAGGGUGGUACCAAAGCAACCUUUACUAAAGGGACCUUUGGCACUGAUCAUAAGGGACCUAUACGCUUUGAGCAUUGCCCUUGAGCAGUCUAAGGGACCUUUGGCACUUAAGGGGCCCUUAAGACUUUUGAGCAUCCAGCCCUAGGGAGAGAGGAGAGGAAGCACUUGCACACACCUGCCUUCCCAAGCCAUACAGAGGCCUGGGGAAAGGAUUUUUACUGGGUCCCUGUAACCUGCUCAUGAGAGAAACAUCCUUUCCAACCUGGUGGAGGUGUCUCAUGGUAGUCACCAACACACAGGAGCAGAAGGGAGUCUCACAAGACACAUGGAUUUUAUUCAAUUCACUGCAUAACACGGUCACAGUACCUGACUAUCUCUUGCACGCCAUAGCAACAUCACAAACUCACUGUCCUGGUACACAGUUUCCCAGCUGGGUGAGAAAGGCACACCCAACAACAAGGGGGCAAACAAAGGGAAGGCAAGAAGGGAAGUGACAUGCAUCUGUUGUUUCUCACUGUCCAACUCUGACUGUUUGCGGUGCAUCAGGACACCACCUUGGGCCAUGCCACCUUCCCACCAAGGGCCAAAUCCACAAAACAGGUUGCUACAUAACAUUCUGCAAUUGGCCAAAUGGCAAGCUUCUGCUCCCACUCCCACUCUGUAAUCUCCGAGAAACGGCAUCCAUGAAGAAUUGCGGCAGUUGGCGGGUGGAGGAUGCUAAUCCGCCUAAGCAUGCUCAUUGGCUGCUGGAACUGUUAUGUCACUGACUUGAUAUCACACACAUGGCAGCCAAUCACAGGGAGGCUUUGUGUUAUCACUGAGGAAGUCAUAUGGCAUUGUUUACAAACCCUGAUAUAGCAUCACGCACUCACAGCCACCACCUACUACAGUCAACUGUCCUCACAAUGCUGGUGGCUAGUGAAUCCCCUAAGAAAACAAGGAGACAAUGAUUCACCAACACUGAGACCUUAACCUUGGUGGAGGAGGUGGAGAGUUGGGGUGCAAGGGACAGUAAAACGCCACAAAAGAAGAAAGCUUGGGAAGAUGUGGUAGGAGUGUCUAGCCCUCUGCUGAACAACAGCAGAUCCUCACCUGCUGGUGUUGCUGGGUCUGCUGGGUGUUGCUAUGGGAGAGUCACCCUCAUUACUGACAGUGGAUGAGGACCUGACUUUCCAAAUCAUCCAUCAUACAGAUGAUGUCCCCCAAUAGCAGAACUUGAGCAGAUGCAACAAUUUAUAGUGAAUCUGAAGGAGAUGGGAGACUUCCUGCAUAGACUAGUGAAGGCACAAUGGGAACUGGUGGCAGGCACAGUGAGAAGUGGUGGCAGGCACAACAGGAGUUGGUGGCAGGUACAUCGAGAGCUGGUGGCAGGCACAACAAGAGCUGAUGAGCAAUUCUGCCCAAAAUGUGUUGAGCUAUCUGCUGCACUGCAGGUUCAGGCUCCACAUGUGGACGCUGAGGUGAAGAGGUGGUAGCUGAAAAUAAAUAACUAUGAGUCCUAAAUUAUGCUGCCUCCGAGGGAGCUGAGGGCUCUACACCAAAGCGUCAGAAGAAAAUCCUGACCUCGGAUAAGGUUAACCUGCUGGACUGUCUUCAGAAGGGCACAAACUUUAUCACAGUUGGAAAGAAGUACAGAUUAAAUAAGAACAUGGUGUGGUACAUUAAGAAAAGGGAAGAAACCAUCAGGGAGUCUUUUAUAGCCUCUGCACCUGUCUAGGACAAGAAUGUGUCAGAGACGAGACAAAGCUAUGGUAAAAAUGGAGAAUGCUCUUUCAUUGUGGUUCCAGAAUCAACAUCGAAAGGGUGUGGGAGACAAGAGAGGGCUUUCAUAACAAUAUCAAUGAGAGAGAGAGAGAGAGAGAGAGAGAGAGAGAGAGAGAGAGAGAGAGAGAGAGAGAGAGAAUUUCAUAUAAAGUCAAUAAGCAAUAUGCAAAUAUAUAAUUAUUGUAUUUGAGAUCAAUCUAGGUUAAGGGACAGUAUAACAAGGAAAAUCAACCCUCGGGUCAUCUUUCAUUUGAUAUACAGUUUAUUUCUUCUCCAUCUAUACACAUACACAUGUACGUACAUGUGGACAUGAUCUCAUUCACCCAGAUGUCCAACCCAAAGACAGUCUCCCACCUCUCAUACAAGUCCACCCAAGUUGAAAAACACUGUAUGAUCUGAUUUGUAUGUAUGAUUUGCCAUCUAAAUCCUGGUGGCAUGGCACAACACUGGUUUUGCAGUUUUUUGUGGUCACAAAUAUGUUGAGCGGCCUAGAAGCAACAACAGAAAACAGGAAAUGAGGAGUGGUACAGUAGCAUUUCUUUAUAUUUUCAAUGUUCAGCUGGUAAUGUCUAUGGGGGACAGGGGCGACAGCGAUCAAUAGCACGUUGGCUUCACAUUUGUGAUGUCAAGCCAACUCCUCCCAUUAUACCUCCAUGAGUCAAAAAUGUUGGAACCAUCUUGCUGUGCCCAAGCAUGUUUUCUGAUGUGCUGUAAGCAAAGUUAUGCCAUAUAUUA